GAAUUUUCCGCAAUGGGCGAAAGCCUGACGGAGCAACGCCGCGUGGAUGAUGAAGCCUUUCGGGGCGUAAAAUCCUUUCAGCAGGGACGAAACAAAUGACGGUACCUGCAGAAGAAGCACCGGCUAACUACGUGCCAGCAGCCGCGGUAAUACGUAGGGUGCAAGCGUUGUCCGGAAUUAUUGGGCGUAAAGAGAACGUAGGCGGUUUGUUUAGUCUGUUCUUAAAGACCAGGGCUCAACCCUGGGAAUGGAAUGGAAACUGGCAGACUCGAGGACGUCAGAGGAAGGUGGAAUUCCCAGUGUAGCGGUGAAAUGCGUAGAUAUUGGGAGGAACACCAGUGGCGAAAGCGACCUUCUGGGACGAUCCUGACGCUGAGGUUCGAAAGCUCGGGGAGCAAACAG
rnacentral:rRNA from 1 species